rnacentral:piRNA from 1 species
AAUCUCAGGCCAAGGAUGUCAUCG